UACAGAGGGUGCAAGCGUUGCUCGGAUUUACUGGGCGUAAAGCGUACGCAGACGGUGAGAAAGGUCGAAUGUGAAAGCCCCGGGCUCAACCCGGGAACUGCAUCCGAAUCCAUCUCGCUAGAGUAUGAGAGAGGGAAGCAGAAUCCCUGGUGUAGAGGUGAAAUUCGUAGAUAUCAGGAGGAAUACCUGCGGCGAAGGCGGCUUCCUGGCUCAUUACUGACGUUCAGGUACGAAAGCGUGGGUAGCAAACAGG
rnacentral:rRNA from 1 species